UGGGGAAUAUUGGACAAUGGGCGCAAGCCUGAUCCAGCCAUGCCGCGUGAGUGACGAAGGUCUUCGGAUUGUAAAGCUCUUUUUGGCGGGGACGAUAAUGACGGUACCCGCAGAAUAAGCCCCGGCUAACUUCGUGCCAGCAGCCGCGGUAAUACGAAGGGGGCUAGCGUUGUUCGGAAUCACUGGGCGUAAAGCGCACGUAGGCGGACUCGUAAGUGUCGUGUGAAAGCCCACUGCUUAACGGUGGAACCGCACGGCAAACUGCAAGUCUCGAGGAAGGUAGAGGCCGGUAGAACGAUUGGUGGAGCGGUGGAAUGCGUAGAUAUCAAUCGGAAUGCCAAAGGUGAAGACAGCCGGCUGGGCCUUUCCUGACGCUGAGGCACGAAAGCGUGGGGAGCAAACAGGAUUAAAUACCCAUGUAGUCCCUGAGCGGGCUGGCAAGGCGCAU
rnacentral:rRNA from 1 species